UCAUCUCCGGGGGUAGAGCACUGUUUCGGCUAGGGGGCCAUCCCGGCUUACCAACCCGAUGCAAACUGCGAAUACCGGAGAAUGUUAUCACGGGAGACACACGGCGGGUGCUAACGUCCGUCGUGAAGAGGGAAACAACCCAGACCGCCAGCUAAGGUCCCAAAGUCAUGGUUAAGUGGGAAACGAUGUGGGAAGGCCCAGACAGCCAGGAUGUUGGCUUAGAAGCAGCCAUCAUUUAAAGAAAGCGUAAUAGCUCACUGGUCGAGUCGGCCUGCGCGGAAGAUGUAACGGGGCUAAACCAUGCACCGAAGCUGCGGCAGCGACACUCAGGUGUUGUUGGGUAGGGGAGCGUUCUGUAAGCCUGUGAAGGUGGCCUGUGAGGGUUGCUGGAGGUAUCAGAAGUGCGAAUGCUGACAUAAGUAACGAUAAAGCGGGUGAAAAGCCCGCUCGCCGGAAGACCAAGGGUUCCUGUCCAACGUUAAUCGGGGCAGGGUGAGUCGACCCCUAAGGCGAGGCCGAAAGGCGUAGUCGAUGGGAAACGGGUUAAUAUUCCCGUACUUGGUGUUACUGCGAAGGGGGGACGGAGAAGGCUAUGUUGGCCGGGCGACGGUUGU
rnacentral:rRNA from 2 species